AAACCAGCACCUCAAGUGGUCAGGAGGAUUAUUGGGCCUAAAGCAUCCGUAGCCGGCUCUGUAAGUUUUCGGUUAAAUCUGUACGCUCAACGUACAGGCUGCCGGGAAUACUGCAGAGCUAGGGAGUGGGAGAGGUAGACGGUACUCGGGAGGAAGUGGUAAAAUGCUUUGAUCUCUCGAUGACCACCUGUGGCGAAGGCGGUCUACCAGAACACGUCCGACGGUGAGGGAUGAAAGCUGGGGGAGCAAACCGGAUUAGAAACCCCGGUAGUCC
rnacentral:rRNA from 1 species